ensembl:lncRNA
CAAACCGGUAGAGGAAACCUCUGUGCCAGUAGACAUUUGCCGUCAGGUAUUCAUACAUAGAUAUCACCCUAUAAACAUCCCAACACACCUUGCUCUCACAGCGGUGGCGGUGUUGAAUUUUGCCAUGAUUAUGGUCUUGUAUUCUUCAUAAGCGUUCAUGUUCAUCUCCUACUCGCCAGCGGAGAAUAAAAGAGCCCUUUUCUUUGAGUUUAGAACCAUUAUACCGUUAGAAAAUCAUGGUUUUGGUGAUCGACCUUUCCUGCCUUUUGAAGUAGGACGUGCACGCGCAAAUGCCAUGAUAACUUUAGCCUGGUUGAAAUUAACCACAUGAUUAGGAUGCGGAUCAGCCGUUGACGAACCGAUAUUUGCUGUUCUCAAUCAGCUCGCUAAUCUUAACGGGCUAAAAGGCCAAUUGAUUAACUUAGCUUCAAUCCUACGACGAACGUACCCCAGGCGUAAUUGUGCCAAGUGUGAGCAAAUGCCUACAGAGCCUGAGAAUGGAUGCUGCAGGGAGAUGCCACAGGUAACAAGAAGACUACUGCAGCUUCCAAACCAACCAACAUGCAUCAUCCGGGACUUUUAGCUGUGUGAUUGAAUGUGUUCUCACUACAGAAUGCAUUCAACAUCUAUAGAGCAGACUAUGGGCCUUAUGUCUAAGGGGAAUAUAGCAACGUUACAGGUAUUUGGUGUACAGAAGCUUUGUUAGCAGGUCUUGGGGCUUUCUGGGACGGAG